UACGUAGGCAGCAAGCGUUGUUCGGAUUUACUGGGCGUAAAGGGUGUGUAGGCGGUUGGAUAAGUGUGGUGUGAAAUCUCCCGGCUUAACUGGGAGGGUGCGCUACAAACUGUCUGACUAGAGUGUGGGAUGGGAGAGUGGAAUUCCUGGUGUAGCGGUGAAAUGCGUAGAUAUCAGGAGGAACACCGGUGGUGUAGACGGCUCUCUGGACCAUAACUGACGCUGAGACACGAAAGCGUGGGUAGCAAACAGG
rnacentral:rRNA from 1 species